CUUGUUCCCAGCUGAGCACUCAGGUACUAGGGUAGUAGUGUCUUGGCCUGGAAUCUGCCCAGCACACCAUGAAUCAUCAGUGGACAGGGUCUUCCAGAAGUCCUAUAGUCCAUCUCUGCUGCAGGCAGGGCUACUUCUGUUUAUCAGUGAUAAUCUCUAAGUAGGUACAGAAGAAAUCGUCACACCUUCAGGGUAACAUGUUACAUUUUGCAGAUCCUCCAUAGUGAGUUUUUUUCUUAGAUCUACCCUAAACCCUUCAGGAAACCUUUAAACAAAACAAAGCUAUAUUCUGAUGGCUUCUGGAUGGAGAAAUCAGGCCGGAUCAGCCCCACUCAGCUUUCCCUCACAGAAGUGAGGGCUCAGGCCUCCAGGCAGGAAGGGGACCCAUUCCCGUCACCUUGUGCCCUCUCUGGCAAGGCCCAGCCCACACCUGCCUUGGCCAGAGCUGCAGUUGUCCUUGGCACCCUAAAGGCCUGCAGAUAUUAGGUAACAGGUCUUGGCCAGACAUUCUGGUUUGGCAGGUACAAGCUACAAGUUAAAAAUUGUUCUAAAAAUGCAGCACAGCUGCCUAAACACACAGGCCUAGAGGAGAGGCUGUGGGCAGAGGCCACGGUCAGUAGAGGGAUGUGUUUUCCACAGGGACUUUGGGCCCAGAGCUCUGACCCAAGGGAAACAUCAACCUUGAGACCUGCUCCCCAGAGAUGGGACUUGUGGCCCUCAACCCUCUUAGCCGUUUUCUCUAGAAGUGACUCAGCUUCCGAGAGAAAGCUGCUCUGGCCCUGCCUGUCGCAGGGACACGCCUCCCCACCUGCCUCUGCGCUGGCGGUUUGCUUUUUUGCUAUUUUGAUGGUUUGUUGCAUUUCCAUACUUUUAGGCACCUUUGCCCUCCCUUACUUCUUAGUUUCUCUUCCCCUUCUUUCUUUUCCUCUUUUUUCUCUCUUGCCUCUUCUCCUCUAUACCCACUAGGUAAUGAGGGUGAGUUUUCCUUUCUCCUCCUGAAGCUCUGCCCUAAGCCUGUAGGACCCGGCCAGGGGAGGGAAGCAGCCUCUCGUCCCUCCUGUCUGCGACCCUGGGGAAUCCCCUCCGCCUCUCUGGGCCUGUGUCAAAUGGGACAAUAAUACCCACUUGAUCCUCUGCCUCACGCAAUGGCUGGGAAAAUCAAAACAGGGGACACUGACUUCUGUACACACACGUAAGGGCUUUUCAAAAGUUUGCUUCAGGCAGUUUGACUCACCGUGCGACGAAGGAGUAGGCGGUGGGGUCUCACCGUGUGUCUCAUUAGCCCUUUCCCACCUUGCUUGUUUGGGCUGCAGCUGAGUUCGAAAUGGCUGGCGGUAAGGCUGGGAAGGACUGCGGAAAGGCCAAGACAAAGGCGGUUCCCGCUGGCAGGGAGCCGGCUUGCAGUUCCCGGUGGGCCGCAUUCAUCCACACCUGAGAUCCGGGACGACCAGUCAUGGCCGAGAGGGCGCGGCCGCCGCCUGCACAGCGCAGCCAUCCUGCAGUGCCUCGCCGCCGCAGAGGUACUGGAAUUGGCAGGAAAUGCAUCAAAAGACUUAAAAGUAAAGCGUAUUACCCCUCGCCAUUUGCAACUUGCUGUUGGUGGAGACGAAGAAUUGGUCUCUCUUCAAGGCUACAAUUGCUGGUGGUGGUGUCAUUCCACACAUCCACAAGUGUCUGAUUGGGAAGAAAGGACAACAGAAGACUGUCUAAAGGAUGCCUGGAUUCCUUAUUGGCUCAGGACUCUAAAUACUCUAACAGCUGUCCAGUGUUGGUGAUUCCAGUGGGCUGUAUCUCUGUGAAAAACACAAUUUUACCUUUUUGUAAUUCUAUUUGAGCAAGUUGGAAGUUUAUUAGCUUUCCAACCAACCAAAUUUCUGCAUUCAAGUCUUAACCAUAUUUAUUUAUUUAUUUAUUUAUUUUUUGAGACAGAGUCUCACUUUU